rnacentral:misc_RNA from 1 species
GAUGUACAUAUGUACCGUAUGCCUUUCGAGUAGCUCGUUGAGGUCAACGUUGAGUGCCGUUUUUUGUCCCGAGGACACGCCGGAGAUGUCGGUAACUAAUCUAACCUAGCUAAGAGCCGUGGCUCGCAUCAGUGUUCGCACGGUGGCAGCCCGAAAUUCGCGUGUACCCGUCGCAACGUCUCCGUUGCUCGUGUAUUAAAUGUUGAGUUUGACACUCGACAAAAUCGAUAUCUCGUCCUCACCGUCAUCGCCGCGCUCGUCGUCGGACGCGGAGGCGUUCUUGAUAAACGUCUUCGUCAUGUCGGGCGAUCACAAGACGGUCAUUAAGUAUCCAUCAGAGUACGUCAAGUUGAACAUUGGAGGGUCUCUGCACUACACGACUAUAGGGACACUGCGAAAGCAUGACACUAUGCUGCGUGCCAUGUUCAGUGGUAGGAUGGAGGUUCUGACGGAUUCGGAAGGUUGGAUACUAAUAGAUCGCUGUGGAAAACAUUUUGGAACAAUUUUGAACUUCUUAAGAGACGGGUCUGUUCCCCUACCUGAGAGUGCCAAAGAAAUGGCAGAACUGUUGGCCGAGGCAAAGUACUAUUGUAUCAGUGAGUUAGCGGAAUCAUGCGAGCAAGCUCUGCUCAAGAAGGAGCGGGAAGCAGAACCCAUUUGCCGCGUUCCUCUGAUAACGUCACAGCGGGAGGAACAGUUGCUUAUUAGCAAUACUAUGAAGCCUGUUGUAAAAUUGCUCAUUAAUAGGCAUAAUAACAAAUAUUCCUACACAAGUACAUCCGAUGACAAUCUAUUGAAAAACAUCGAACUCUUUGAUAAGAUGUCACUUAGAUUCAGCGGUAGAGUGUUGUUCAUUAAAGAUGUCAUUGGUUCAAGUGAGAUCUGUUGUUGGACGUUCUAUGGUCAUGGUCGGAAGGUAGCAGAGGUAUGCUGCCACUCGAUCGUGUAUACCACAGAUAAGAAACAUACUAAGGUUGAGUUUCCAGAGGCUCGCAUUUACGAGGAGACAUUAAACAUUCUUCUGUACGAGCAUCGGAAUGGUCCUGAUCAGGAACUUAUGCAAGCUACAUCUUCACGUGGAGCAGUCGGAGGUGGUCCACCCUGUACCUCUGAUGAGGAAGAGGGUGAGCGAUCGGGUCUGGCACGUCUUCGCUCCAACAAACAAAAUACCAACUGACCCUCUCUUGCUCUCCUUACUUCUUCCCAUCCAGCAAUCCUCAGUAUGGUCCGAUCCCUCAAAACCAGGGCAAAUAUCAAGUAAUGGCAUGUAUGAAUCUUGUGCCAAUGAAAUCACUACUUUGAUGCCACUCCAAACCUCGUAUUGAAGGUUGAUAAAUAGAUCCUUGAUACAUCAUUCACAAUUGAGUAAAAACAAGGUAGUUUGGAGGGGACCAUUUCGUCAUAGUGAAGUUAUGUGAAACCUGGAUGAAGGUUUACAGAGGACCCAAAAUAAUUGUUACUGUGACAAGUGAAUGUUAUCAGAAGAAUGUGUAUGUAUGUUGAGUUUGUGCCAAAAAUUGUUAUCAAAUGUGAGAAUGGCUCGAAGUCCCCUUUCUAUGAUGGAUCGAAUUAUUUUACAUUAAAUGCUUGAAGUAUCAUUACUACUUUUGAGCAGUAUUUGGAAACUAAAGUCUGUAAUUGCCUGUAGAAAAAUUACUUAUAAUGCUUAGAACAGCAGACCUUCCAGCUUUUCGUUAAGUCGUACAAAUGUGGCAUUUGCAGUUUUCUGCGGAUUUUUAUGUGCAGGAAUACACAUUUCCAUAAAGACCACGAGCAUUUAUAUAUUCUGGUAAUUGUAUUUACCAGGUAUUAACCGAAUUACAGAAAAGAUACACAUUCAGGUAACGCAACCAAAAAUCACAUUUUCACAUUUAGAAUCUCAAUAAAGCUCAAAUUUUCGUCAGUUAAACUAUUGUGUUUCACUCUAUAAUAAUUAACACAUUGUUCAUAUUAAUAUCAUUUAUACUCAUUUCUUGACAUACUACUGAAAGGGAGAAGCGGAAGAACCACUGCCAUUUGUUUUUACAACAUUGUAAGUUUAUUCACAAAACAGCUUUAGUUUCGGAGAAAGCCUAAAAAAAUACUAUGACCCAGAUUUUAAUUUAAGAAAUUAUGGAAAAAGAGAUAGAAGUAUUAAUCUGUUUAGGACACAAACUUUUCAUAAUACUAAAUGUUGAUUCAUCAUUUAGUACAUCUCUCCCACAAGUAGAAAUCUUUAACAGCCUAUAAUAAGAGAAUGUAACUUGCGCAGCAAUGGGCAUGGCAAAGUUAAAUGAUUUUGUAGUCGAUGCUAGUAACCUCUUUAACUCUUUGCAUUCAGAUAUCACCAAUGUGCCAACAAUCUGGUUAGUUAAAGAUAUAUGGAUGCAAAAGGUUAAUUGUUAGGAGAGCCAAGAUUCAAAUUCAUAUCACAUUCCUAUGGACAAUCAUGAUUAUUAUUCCGAAGACUUUGUAAAAGAUUAAGGCCAACCUAUUAUGUGAUAAUAUACCAGCACUUCGCAGUCGCGCAGAUUUUGUUGCACUUUGAAGACCCUUGAAAGUGAACUCGACUUUUGUUACAACAUACACAUUCGAGAUGUCUAUACAUAUCGCACUGAUGUUUCACAAAUUUUCUAUGUCAGUUUCGAAAGUAGGUUUCGUCCUUCCGCAAGAUAUCUCUAUAGAGUUUCGUGUGUCGGUCAGGGAAAUGCUAAGAAAGGUAAAAAUUGUAAUUGGAGUUUCCUGUGAGUGAGUACUGAACUUCCUGCAAUCACCCGAUGUUAUGUGUCUAUGCAGUACUACGUUGCAGACCUAACUUAGCUAGCACUUACCGAUGCUGUAAUUAUUGUAUCGUAAUGUCAAGAAAAAUAUGUGCUUGCGUUUCAUGAUACUACCGUGUAGGACACAGGGUAAUUAUUAUAGGUGAAAUGGAAACUUGAUAUAUGCAUAUAUAUACAUGUAUAAGUACAUUUAUUGUAAAUACGAAGAUUCAACGUCUAAGCUCUCGAUGGUUCGAUUAUGACGCACUUGUAAAGUUUACGCGAAACUUUCAGCGAUUAGGCAUAAACGAGUUUACCUUACUUCGACUUCGUGUCUGUAUAUACGGUACGAUAAUGAUUAUUUGUAUUAUAAAUUAUUGUAAUCAAGAAAUGCGAAAGUGUUGAGAUUUGGACUCUAGAAGUAUGGGAGUCGUAUAUGUAUACGUAUUUUAUUCGUCUACUGUAUUCUAGGGCCUUGGGAAGACUUAGGCCAAAUGGCAUCAACGACUUAAAUGGAAGUGACAUUUGUAAUUCUAUUGCGUCGAAUUUAAGUUUAACUUGAAUAGGUAAUGGGCUGAUUGCUUCAUUACCACUUUAUAAUUUACUUGUCAGUUUAUUAAUGCUUAUGAAAUACUUAGAAUUAAUGUACAAUGGACGCUUGAAUGGAAGUUCCAAUUGUUGAUAGACGUGCCGGUAGUGGGCUUUGAAACCAGUGACGUUACUACCGUUUAAAUAUUUAAUGUUACGAUGAAUUUGGUGGUUAUGUGCUGUUCAUUUUUUGAUACUUGAGUAAGCGGUCAGCAUGAAGUUUAAAGUUUCCUUAUCGUUAUGAAGUUUUUUGAUCGGGCAUGUAUGACAUCGUUCUAAGGAUGAUAAGUAAUGCACUUAACGCGCACAAAUCGUGAACAUAGACGAUUGGCUGUGGAAAUAUUCAUUUUCUACAUAUUAAACGUCAGAGAGACAAUAAACGGGCAGACAUGUUUAAGAAUGAACUUGUCUCUUCGAUUAACUUAACAAUUUUACUGUAGUAUUUUGAAGGACCUGGAGUUACAUUUAGUUUAAUGUAAAUUGAUGGUGUGAGUGAUCAUUUGUAAUUCACGUUAACUUUACUUAUUGUUUUUCCAUUGUGGUAAAUUGUUUGUUACGUAAUCUGAAGUCACGGGAGAGCAUGGUUCUCAAAUUUACUUGUUAUAUCACGAAUGUAUAUAUAAUAAGGAAGUAAGAAUGUAACAAUAGAGCAAGUGCCAAAAUCAUGUAAUGUGGUAGUCUGUAACUUAAUGAAUGCAUUGUACAUUAAAGAAUGAAACGAGUAA